AUUGCUUCUCGACCUUUUAGCUAAGAUCAAGUGUAGUAUCUGUUCUUAUCAGUUUAAUAUCUGAUAUGUCCUCUAUCUGAGGACAAGAUAUUAAACGAAUUUUUGAAAUCAGAAGAGGAACUUGCUCUGUCCGCUCCGCGCAUCGAUCUGGUAUGCAGUACCUCCAGGAAUGGUGCACCAAAA